rnacentral:rRNA from 1 species
UUAAGCGACUAAGCGUACACGGUGGAUGCCCUGGCAGUCAGAGGCGAUGAAGGACGUGCUAAUCUGCGAAAAGCGUCGGUAAGGUGAUAUGAACCGUUAUAACCGGCGAUGUCCGAAUGGGGAAACCCAGUGCAAUUCGUUGCACUAUCGUUAACUGAAUACAUAGGUUAACGAGGCGAACCGGGGGAACUGAAACAUCUAAGUACCCCGAGGAAAAGAAAUCAACCGAGAUUCCCCCAGUAGCGGCGAGCGAACGGGGAGCAGCCCAGAGUCUGAAUCAGCUUGUGUGUUAGUGGAACGGUCUGGAAAGUCCGACGGUACAGGGUGAUAGUCCCGUACACCAAAAUGCACAGGUUGUGAACUCGAAGAGUAGGGCGGGACACGUGGUAUCCUGUCUGAAUAUGGGGGGACCAUCCUCCAAGGCUAAAUACUCCUGACUGACCGAUAGUGAACCAGUACCGUGAGGGAAAGGCGAAAAGAACCCCGGCGAGGGGAGUGAAAAAGAACCUGAAACCGUGUACGUACAAGCAGUGGGAGCACCUUCGGGUGUGACUGCGUACCUUUUGUAUAAUGGGUCAGCGACUUAUAUUCUGUAGCAAGGUUAACCGUAUAGGGGAGCCGCAGGGAAACCGAGUCUUAACUGGGCGUUAAGUUGCAGGGUAUAGACCCGAAACCCGGUGAUCUAGCCAUGGGCAGGUUGAAGGUUGGGUAACACUAACUGGAGGACCGAACCGACUAAUGUUGAAAAAUUAGCGGAUGACUUGUGGCUGGGGGUGAAAGGCCAAUCAAACCGGGAGAUAGCUGGUUCUCCCCGAAAGCUAUUUAGGUAGCGCCUCGUGAACUCAUCUUCGGGGGUAGAGCACUGUUUCGGCUAGGGGGUCAUCCCGACUUACCAACCCGAUGCAAACUACGAAUACCGAAGAAUGUUAUCACGGGAGACACACGGCGGGUGCUAACGUCCGUCGUGAAGAGGGAAACAACCCAGACCGCCAGCUAAGGUCCCAAAGUCAUGGUUAAGUGGGAAACGAUGUGGGAAGGCACAGACAGCCAGGAUGUUGGCUUAGAAGCAGCCAUCAUUUAAAGAAAGCGUAAUAGCUCACUGGUCGAGUCGGCCUGCGCGGAAGAUGUAACGGGGCUAAACCAUGCACCGAAGCUGCGGCAGCGACACUAUGUGUUGUUGGGUAGGGGAGCGUUCUGUAAGCCUGCGAAGGUGUGCUGUGAGGCAUGCUGGAGGUAUCAGAAGUGCGAAUGCUGACAUAAGUAACGAUAAAGCGGGUGAAAAGCCCGCUCGCCGGAAGACCAAGGGUUCCUGUCCAACGUUAAUCGGGGCAGGGUGAGUCGACCCCUAAGGCGAGGCCGAAAGGCGUAGUCGAUGGGAAACAGGUUAAUAUUCCUGUACUUGGUGUUACUGCGAAGGGGGGACGGAGAAGGCUAUGUUAGCCGGGCGACGGUUGUCCCGGUUUAAGCAUGUAGGCUGGUUAUCCAGGCAAAUCCGGAUAAUCAAGGCUGAGGUGUGAUGACGAGGCACUACGGUGCUGAAGUAACAAAUGCCCUGCUUCCAGGAAAAGCCUCUAAGCAUCAGGUAACAUCAAAUCGUACCCCAAACCGACACAGGUGGUCAGGUAGAGAAUACCAAGGCGCUUGAGAGAACUCGGGUGAAGGAACUAGGCAAAAUGGUGCCGUAACUUCGGGAGAAGGCACGCUGGUGUGUAGGUGAAGUCCCUGCGGAUGGAGCUGAGACCAGUCGAAGAUACCAGCUGGCUGCAACUGUUUAUUAAAAACACAGCACUGUGCAAACACGAAAGUGGACGUAUACGGUGUGACGCCUGCCCGGUGCCGGAAGGUUAAUUGAUGGGGUUAUCCGUAAGGAGAAGCUCUUGAUCGAAGCCCCGGUAAACGGCGGCCGUAACUAUAACGGUCCUAAGGUAGCGAAAUUCCUUGUCGGGUAAGUUCCGACCUGCACGAAUGGCGUAAUGAUGGCCAGGCUGUCUCCACCCGAGACUCAGUGAAAUUGAACUCGCUGUGAAGAUGCAGUGUACCCGCGGCAAGACGGAAAGACCCCGUGAACCUUUACUAUAGCUUGACACUGAACAUUGAGCCUUGAUGUGUAGGAUAGGUGGGAGGCUUUGAAGCGUGGACGCCAGUCUGCGUGGAGCCAACCUUGAAAUACCACCCUUUAAUGUUUGAUGUUCUAACGUUGGCCCCUGACCGGGGUUGCGGACAGUGUCUGGUGGGUAGUUUGACUGGGGCGGUCUCCUCCCAAAGCGUAACGGAGGAGCACGAAGGUUAGCUAAUCCUGGUCGGACAUCAGGAGGUUAGUGCAAUGGCAUAAGCUAGCUUGACUGCGAGCGUGACGGCGCGAGCAGGUGCGAAAGCAGGUCAUAGUGAUCCGGUGGUUCUGAAUGGAAGGGCCAUCGCUCAACGGAUAAAAGGUACUCCGGGGAUAACAGGCUGAUACCGCCCAAGAGUUCAUAUCGACGGCGGUGUUUGGCACCUCGAUGUCGGCUCAUCACAUCCUGGGGCUGAAGUAGGUCCCAAGGGUAUGGCUGUUCGCCAUUUAAAGUGGUACGCGAGCUGGGUUUAGAACGUCGUGAGACAGUUCGGUCCCUAUCUGCCGUGGGCGCUGGAGAAUUGAGGGGGGGCUGCUCCUAGUACGAGAGGACCGGAGUGGACGCAUCACUGGUGUUCGGGUUGUCAUGCCAAUGGCACUGCCCGGUAGCUAAAUGCGGAAGAGAUAAGUGCUGAAAGCAUCUAAGCACGAAACUUGCCCCGAGAUGAGUUCUCCCUGAGACUAUAAGUCUCCUGAAGGAACGUUAAAGACGAUGACGUUGAUAGGCCGGGUGUGUAAGCGCAGCGAUGCGUUGAGCUAACCGGUACUAAUGAACCGUGAGGCUUAACCUU